rnacentral:lncRNA from 1 species
UUUUUUGCCUCUCGUCUUACAAAUGAUGCCUGCUUCUUCAUGGUACUAGUGUAGGUCGACCAUUUCUUUUUUAUUUCUUCGGCUGUCCUUUUAUGGUUCAAGUUAUAAGUAUUUACCUUACUGCAAAUGUACUCCCAUGCUCUUUUUUAUCGGCGUUUGUCGCUACAGUGCUUUGUUUGCUGAAUAAAAUGCCCUUCUGGCUCUCCACUUGAUCUGAAAAAAUGUUUAACUCUGCCUCUGUAAAGUUUGGGUUUCGUUUUUUUGCUCAUUCUGGUACGUGAAUAUGAACAUCAAAUGAAACGCA